GAAAUGCGAUAAGUAAUGUGAAUUGAAGAAUUCAGUGAAUCAUCGAAUCUUUGAACGCACCUUGCGCUCCUUGGUAUUCCGAGGAGCAUGCCUGUUUGAGUGUCAUGGAAUUCUCAACUCUAUUUGCUUUUGUGAAUAGAGCUUGGAUUUGGAGGUUUAUUGCUGGUACUUGUGAUCGGCUCCUCUUGAAUGCAUUAGCUCGAACCUUUGCGGAUCAGCUAUCGGUGUGAUAAUUGUCUACGCCGUUGCAGUGAAGCAUAUCAAUGGGCUCGGCUUCCAAUCGUCCUUUACUGGACAAUGACUUUGACCUUUGACCUCAAAUCAGGUAGGAUUACCCGCUGAACUUAAGC
rnacentral:misc_RNA from 1 species